GGAAUCUUCCACAAUGGGCGAAAGCCUGAUGGAGCAACGCCGCGUGUGUGAUGAAGGGUUUCGGCUCGUAAAACACUGUUGUAAGAGAAGAAUGACAUUGAGAGUAACUGUUCAAUGUGUGACGGUAUCUUACCAGAAAGGAACGGCUAAAUACGUUCCAG
rnacentral:rRNA from 1 species